rnacentral:rRNA from 1 species
CCCUUAGAUGUUCUGGGCCGCACGCGCGCUACACUGACGAAGUCAGCGAGCAUGUCCUACGCCGACAGGUGCGGGGAAUCUUGUCAAACUUCGUCGUGAUGGGGAUUGAUUUUUGAAAUUCUUGAUCAUAGACGAGGAAUUCCUAGUAAGCGCAAGUCAGCAGCUUGCGUUGAUUACGUCCCUGCCCUUUGUACACACCGCCCGUCGCUACUACCGAUUGAAUGGUUUAGUGAGAUCUUCGGAUUGGCGCCACUGCAGCUCAGCAAUGGGCUUGGUGGAUGCCGAAAAGUUGAUCAAACUUGAUCAUUUAGAGGAAGUAAAAGUCGUAACA